CAGGAAGUGGACUACGCUGCAGGGCAUUCUGGGCUGCUGCUCCGUUUCCCUCAUCAAACAGCUGUUAGAGAAAAGGUUCAGGGUUUUCCUUCUUCCUCCCCUGAGCUUUAGCGACCAGUGGAUUCAUGGACAGAAAGCAGUUUGCAUGUUCCUCGCCGCCGUCCCAGCAGCCUCUCUGCCGUGGCAUCAGUAGGAAAAGGUAAAUCCAUCUCCCUCAUACAUUUACAGACAAACUCACCUUUUAACUCGGUUAGAACCCAAACCGCAUCGCCCUGCUUUCUGGGACUCAGCAGUAAGUUCUGCUGGAAAAUCCGUUUUCUUUUCACACAAAGAUGUUUGAAUAUUUUCUGCUCUCCUGUCGGUCAGAACAUCUGAACAGAACCUGCUUCAGUCAGACCGGCUCCAGCCCAACGGCGCACCCUGAUCAAUAUGAGAUCAAUAUGUAAGCCAUCCUCUGAUUGGUUCUGGUUCUCAGAUAAAGGAGGAAUUAAUUAGUCAGUAAACAACCAUCUGAUCUGAAACAGGAAGUCCACCAGGAGCUCAGGAGAAUCUCUUCUUCUGUUUGGUCCUCCAUCAUUUCUUUGGUUUCAGGUUGAUGUUGCAGGUUUUGGGUCAG